AGAGUUUGAUCCUGGCUCAGGAUGAACACUGCCCGCAUGCUUAACACAUGCAAGUCGAGCGGGAAGUGGUGUUUCCAGUGGCGAACGGGUGAGUAACGCAUAAGAACCUGCCCUUGGGAGGGGAACAACAACUGGAAAUGGUUGCUAAUACCCCGUAGGCUGAGGAGCAAAAGGAGAAAUCCUCCUAAGGAGGGGCUCGCGUCUGAUUAGCUAGUUGGUGAGGUAAUAGCUUACCAAGGAGAUAAUCAGUAGCUGGUCUGAGAGGAUGAUCAGCCACACUGAGACUGAGACAUGUCCCACACUCCUAUGGGAGACAGCAGUGGGGAAUUUUCCGCGAUGGGCGAAAGCCUGACGGGGCAAUGCCACGUGGAGGUGGAAGGCCUACAGGUCGUCAACUUCUUUUCUCGGAGAAGAAACAAUGACGGUAUCUGAGGAAUAAGCAUCAGCUAUCUCUGUG
rnacentral:rRNA from 1 species